rnacentral:rRNA from 1 species
AUACACCUCUCCGAGCCCGCGUGACCAAUGCGGGUCUCGAGUGGCGGACGGGUGAGUAAUGUCUGGGAAACUGCCUGAUGGCGGGGGAUAACUACUGGAAACGGUAGCUCAUACCGCAUACCAUCAGAUGUUCCCAGAUGGGAUUAGCUUGUUGGUGGGGUAACGGCUCACCUAGGCGACGCUCCCUAGCUGGUCUGAGAGGAUGACCAGCCACACUGGAAUGGAGACACGGCCCAGACUCCGACGGGAGGCAGCAGGGGGGAAUAUUGUACAAUGGGUGCAAGCCGGAUGCAGCCAUGCCGCGUGUAUGAAGAAGGCCUGCGGGUUUUAAAGUACUUUCAGCGGGGAGGCGUUACCGGCAGAAGAAGCACCGGCUAACUCCGUGCCAGCAGCCGCGGUAAUUC